UAAAGCGCGUGCAGGCGGUUCGGUAAGUUGGAUGUGAAAGCUUCCGGCUCAACUGGGAGAGGUCGUUCAAUACUACCGGACUUGAGAGUGGUAGAGGGAGGUGGAAUUCCCGGUGUAGUGGUGAAAUGCGUAGAUAUCGGGAGGAACACCAGUGGCGAAAGCGGCCUCCUGGACCAUUUCUGACGCUCAGACGCGAAAGCUAGGGGAGCAAACGGGAUUAGAGACCCCGGUAGUCCUAGCUGUAAACGAUGUGAACUUGGCGUCGGUGGUGUAAAAACCAUCGGUGCCGAAGCCAACGCGAUAAGUUCACCGCCUGGGGACUACGGCCGCAAGGUUA
rnacentral:rRNA from 1 species